rnacentral:tRNA from 1 species
GGAGUUGUAGCUCAGUGGUAGAGCGCUUGCCUAGCAUGUGUGAGGCACUGGGUUUGAUUCUCAGCACCA